AGCUGCCAACCAACUCCUUUAAUGCAUUCCUUUGUCUUGAAGAAAAGCACCUUGAAACAGCUUUAACUUUGUGCAGAGAAUAUGCUGAUGAGCUGUCAUUUUUUUGUGUGCUGAGAUAAAGAUUAUGAGGCAUCAUUAUUGACUGAAAAAGAUACUAGAUCAUAAUCAAGGCUCAUAUAAUCAGAUUGUAGUAAAUUAGACACUCCCGUGUUAAUCUCCCCCGGUUGAAUGAGACUUGUCCUCAAGUCUUCGUUUGAUUCAUCAACAUGAUUAUAAAAAGGACUCAAAUCAGCCACAUUAAAUGUUGGGGAUACUCCGUAAUCUUCAGGUAGCUCUAUCUCAUAAGCAUCUCUGCCAAUUCUCUUAAGCACCUUGAAUGGACCAUCAGCCUUUGGUUUCAAUUUUCCAAAUUUGCCCGGUGGAAACCUCUCCUUCCUUAGAUGAAU
rnacentral:lncRNA from 1 species